GGGGCCUUAGCUCAGCUGGGAGAGCGCAUCGCUGGCAGCGAUGAGGUCAGGAGUUCGAUCCUCCUUGGCUCCACCA
rnacentral:tRNA from 1 species